UGAACGCGAAGAACCUUACCAAGUCUUGACAUCCCGAUGACAAGCUAUGUAAUGUAGCCUCUCUUCGGAGCAUCGGUGACAGGUGGUGCAUGGUUGUCGUCAGCUCGUGUCGUGAGAUGUUGGGUUAAGUCCCGCAACGAGCGCAACCCCUGUUCUUAGUAGCCAGCGGUUCGGCCGGGCACUCUAGGGAGACUGCCAGGGAUAACCUGGAGGAAGGCGGGGAUGACGUCAAAUCAUCAUGCCCCUUAUGACUUGGGCUACACACGUGCUACAAUGGCGUAAACAAAGGGAAGCGGAGCCGUGAGGCCGAGCAAAUCUCAAAAAUAACGUCUCAGUUCGGACUGUAGUCUGCAACCCGACUACACGAAGCUGGAAUCGCUAGUAAUCGCAGAUCAGAAUGCUGCGGUGAAUACGUUCCCGGGUCUUGUACACACCG
rnacentral:rRNA from 1 species